GUGACGGCGGCUACUACGGCGGUGGCUGUGGCGGCAGCAGCAGCAGCACCAGCGGCCGCAGCAGCGACAACAACAAGUGCCGUGUAAUUCAAUUGCGCGCGGUGGUGACGAGUGAAUCGCUCAUGUGGUACACGGUGACGGCGGCGGCGGUGGCGGCGGCGGCGCGCCGCUGCUGGACGGGAGCGAGACGGUGUGAGAGACGUGUAAAACACAUACACUGUGAGCCCUCACAUACAUACAUAUAUAUAUAUAUAUAUAUACAUAUAGUGCCGUCCACCGAUGCUGCUGCUACCGCCGCCGCCGCCUCUGCCGCUGCCGCCGCCGCCGCCGCCGCCGCCGCCGCCGCCGUCGAGGGACCGACCACCUCUGU